GGGGAUUUAGCUCAGUGGUAGAGCGCUUGCCUAGCAAGUACAAGGCCCUGGGUUCGGUCCCCAGCUCUG
rfam:Rattus norvegicus chromosome 13, whole genome shotgun sequence.